rnacentral:rRNA from 1 species
CGAACGAAGCAUUUAGAACAGAUUAUUUCGGUAUGAAGUUUUUUAUGACUGAGUGGCGGACGGGUGAGUAACGCGUGGGUAACCUGCCUUGUACUGGGGGAUAGCAGCUGGAAACGGCUGGUAAUACCGCAUAAGCGCACAAUGUUGCAUGACAUGGUGUGAAAAACUCCGGUGGUAUAAGAUGGACCCGCGUCUGAUUAGCUAGUUGGUGAGAUAACAGCCCACCAAGGCGACGAUCAGUAGCCGACCUGAGAGGGUGACCGGCCACAUUGGGACUGAGACACGGCCCAGACUCCUACGGGAGGCAGCAGUGGGGAAUAUUGCACAAUGGAGGAAACUCUGAUGCAGCGACGCCGCGUGAGUGAAGAAGUAAUUCGUUAUGUAAAGCUCUAUCAGCAGGGAAGAUAGUGACGGUACCUGACUAAGAAGCUCCGGCUAAAUACGUGCCAGCAGCCGCGAUAAUACGUAUGGAGCAAGCGUUAUCCGGAUUUACUGGGUGUAAAGGGAGUGUAGGUGGCCAUGCAAGUCAGAAGUGAAAAUCCGGGGCUCAACCCCGGAACUGCUUUUGAAACUGUGAGGCUAGAGUGCAGGAGGGGUGAGUGGAAUUCCUAGUGUAGCGGUGAAAUGCGUAGAUAUUAGGAGGAACACCAGUGGCGAAGGCGG